rnacentral:piRNA from 1 species
CUCAUGGGAUGGCAUGGCUCUAUGG